rnacentral:pre_miRNA from 1 species
AUUAUGGACCCUCCAUUCGGAAUUACUUGUCGCGGAAAUGGAUGUAUCUAGAUGCAUUUUAGUUCUAGAUACAUCCAUAUCCAAGACAAGUAAUUCUGAAUGGAGGGAGUACUUU